AUCCCUUCUCAGCCUUUUGGCUAAGAUCAAGUGUAG
rnacentral:snRNA from 1 species